CAUAUUAUGCCGGGUUAAACGGGCUGUAUUGAUGCUACAGAAUAGAAGAUUUAUUGUCUUUAAUAUGA
rnacentral:tRNA from 1 species